rnacentral:hammerhead_ribozyme from 1 species
UGAUGAGUCCCAAAUAGGACGAAAUGCGCAUC